UUCCGGUUGAUCCCGCCGGACCCGACUGCUAUUGGGGUGAGGCUAAGCCAUGCGAGUUAGCUCUCCUAGCCAUGAUGGAGGGCGGCGUACGGCUCAGUAACAUGUGGUCAAUCUACCCUCAGGACGGAGAUAACCUCGGGAAACUGAGGCUAAUAUCCGAUAGAUAAUGGAUCCUGGAAUGGUUCAUUAUUCAAAUGGCACAUUGCUCAUGCGUAAUGUGUCGCCUGAGGAUGAGACUACACCCUAUCAGGUAGUUGGUGGGGUAAUGGCCCACCAAACCUGUAACCGGUACGGGCUCUGAGAGGAGGAGCCCGGAGAUGGGCACUGAGACAAGGGCCCAGGCCCUAUGGGGCGCAGCAGGCGCGAAACCUCUGCAAUAGGCGAAAGCUUGACAGGGUUACUCUGAGUGAUGCCCGUUAAGGGCAUCUUUUGGCACUUCUAAAAAUAGUGUAGAAUAAGGGGUGGGCAAGUCUGGUGUCAGCCGCCGCGGUAAAACCAGC
rnacentral:rRNA from 1 species